UGGGGAAUCUUGCGCAAUGGGCGAAAGCCUGACGCAGCCAUGCCGCGUGAAUGAUGAAGGUCUUAGGAUUGUAAAAUUCUUUCACCGGGGACGAUAAUGACGGUACCCGGAGAAGAAGCCCCGGCUAACUUCGUGCCAGCAGCCGCGGUAAUACGAAGGGGGCUAGCGUUGCUCGGAAUUACUGGGCGUAAAGGGAGCGUAGGCGGACAUUUAAGUCAGGGGUGAAAUCCCGGGGCUCAACCUCGGAAUUGCCUUUGAUACUGGGUGUCUUGAGUAUGAGAGAGGUGUGUGGAACUCCGAGUGUAGAGGUGAGAUUCGUAGAUAUUCGGAAGAACACCAGUGGCGAAGGCGACACACUGGCUCAUUACUGACGCUGAGGCUCGAAAGCGUGGGGAGCAAACAGGAUUAGAUACCCUGGUAGUCCACGCCGUAAACGAUGAUUGCUAGUUGUCGGGAUGCAUGCAUUUCGGUGACGCAGCUAACGCAUUAAG
rnacentral:rRNA from 1 species